UGUCCUCCACGACGACACUGAGAAGCCUGGCUGGCCUCAGUGUUGCUCGUGAGCCCAGUGAGUGAGGGUAUAGUCAGCCUUCCCGAUUUUCCUUUUGUGUUACACAGCGCGCGCGACCUUCAAUUUUAAUCCUGACACCGGUUUAGAGCCCGAGCGCAAGUGGUGAUCCUUGGAGCUGAACCUUGAGGAAGGACGACGACUACGGUUCAGUAUGCAUGGAUGGAGUGAUGUUGCGUAAGGAUGAACGGUACAUCGGGCGGCGGCGGCGGUGGGUACGGUGAUGAAGGCGCCCAUGCCUACGCCCAGGGUCAUGGCGGCGUGGGCGGGACCUCGGGGGUGGGCGGUGGGGGACGGCGGAUUCACACCCGCAGCGUCUCCCACGGCGGCAUCAUGAUCAGCAGGGAGCCGCCUAUAUUUGACCAAGGCGGCACGCUUCCCCAAGGCAUUGGUGGCGCCAUGGGGCACCAGCGGACCUUCUCCCACGGGCAGCUGAUGGAGGGCGGGCGGGGUCACAAGCGAAUGGGAUCCAAGACUGACUUCAUCCUGCCGGCGGGUCACGAGGAGCGGGAGCGUGAGAGAGAACAGCAACAGCAGAUAAAGAAGACACUCUCCAGGACCUCGUCUUUCCCGAAAGGCCACGCCCGGCAGGCCUCCCGCUCGGAGUCCAUCUACACAAUCAGACAGAACAAGCGCACACUCCUGCAGAAGAUCCUCUUCUGGAAGAAGGUGCCAGAGGAGAGCCGGACGCGUAUGGUAGUGCCCAACCACGUGGUGCCUCCCCACGUGUCGGCGGGCCAGCACCCCAACGGCGCCUACCCCGACAACAGCAUCUGCACCACCAAGUACACAGUCCUCUCCUUCCUCCCCAAGAACCUCUUCGAGCAGUUCCACAGAUUCGCCAACUUGUACUUUUUAUUCAUCGUUCUGCUGAAUUUCGUGCCGGCCGUGAACGCCUUCGGGAAGGAGGUGGCGAUGAUGCCGCUCUUGUUCGUACUGGGCAUCACGGCCAUCAAGGACGCCUUCGAGGAUCACCGCAGGUACCUCUCAGACAGUCGGGUCAACAACGCCACCUGCAGAGUCUACAACAGAGACCAGGGCAGAUACGUUAAAAAGAAGUGGAAACAUGUUCGCGUUGGAGACAUUAUUCACCUCUCGUGCAACGAGAUCAUCCCGGCUGACCUGGUGGUUCUUAAUUCAUCAGACGAGUAUGGUCUAUGCUUCAUUGAAUCUUCCAACUUAGAUGGAGAGAGCAAUCUUAAGCAAAGACAAAGCGUUAAAGGCCUUGGCAUGGAUGACAAGUUUGAGGUUGCCAAAUUUGAUUAUCUGAUGGAAAUUGGUGCCCCAUCCACCAAGAUUUACCACUUCUCUGGAACGAUUCCACUUCAGACUGGGGAACGUGUACCUCUAACAAAAGACAAUCUUUUGCUUAGAGACUGUGCUCUCAGGAACACUGAUUACAUUGAAGGAAUUGUUGUUUAUGCUGGUCGUGAAACCAAGGCCAUGCUGAAUAAUGGAGGUACCAGAUACAAGCGCUCCAAAUUAGAGAGGAGGAUGAACGUGGAGGUCAUUUGGUGUGUGGUGAUCCUGUUUGUCAUGUGCGUUAUCUCUGCUACUGGAUCUGGUCUCUGGCAGAAUUAUCACGAGCUGAAUGCCACCUCAGGGUUGGUGCCAUUCAUUCCUCCGAGUGUGCUGGGGGCAGCACUGAAGACUCGUGAGCUCUCUAACAACCCGGUCUGGGUUGGUUUUAUUAGCUUUUGGACUUUUGUAAUUAUUUAUCAGGUUAUUAUACCAAUAUCAUUGUAUGUUACGAUUGAAGUGAUAAAGUUGAUGCAAGUUUAUCAUAUACACUGUGACAAGGACUUUAAAGAUAAGAAGAGUGGCAAAACUAUAGAAUGUCGAGCACUUAACAUUCCCGAGGAGUUAGGUCAAGUAGAGUACGUAUUUACCGACAAGACAGGAACGCUCACAGAAAACAACAUGGUCUUCCAGCGCUGCUCUAUCAAUGGUACUGAUUAUGCCCACACAGCUGUUAUUAACAAGAAUCAGAGCUGUGAUCAAAGAGACACCUUCACCUUGAACAAUCAGCUGCAGGAGGAACUUGCUUCCAUUGAGCUUCCAUUGAUAUAUGCUCAGCCUGGUAGACAGAAUUCAACUGCUCUCAGCCCUCCAAAGGAUUCACCUUCUGAGAGAAUCAUGGAUUUUUUUUUUACUCUUGCAGCAUGCAACACUGUCAUUGUUGCAAAGUAUCCUCAUCGAGAUGCGAUGAAUGCAAGUGGUAUGAUUGUGCCAAAUGAAAGUGCCAAUAGUUCAAGUAUCACCGAUCCAGAAAAUUCCAGCAACACCACCACUACAACUAAUAUUAGUUCCAGUUCAUGGGGACCCAAUCGUGUGUUGCGUAGUUUCCUACCGUUCUCUCGUCCACUUUCUCCCAUAGCCUCUUCCCCUCGUAACACACCUCCACGUACCCCAGAGGCAUUGCCACGAUAUGCAGCUCCACUCGGCCUUACACCAAGUCAUGAUCAAUCGUGCUCAUCUGUAAGCAUAAUACUGAACCCCAUCAACGAAUCAAGCACUAUGGAGGAUGUCCAAGUGUCGUAUGACCUUAAAGAUCAACCCAAUUCCUCUCCAUUGCGACCAUCACUCCUAAACAUCCAAUCGGCACAAACUUAUAAUGCUAAUUUAUCGAGAGAUUCACGUUCACCAACACCAUCGCCUAUGGAUAUUAAGCCCAUCUAUGAAGCGGAGAGCCCAGACGAGUUAGCACUAGUGGAUGCAGCAUACAAAUAUGGAUUUCGCUUGCUAAGAAGAUCCUUGCACAAUAUUUUAAUUUCACUGCCAGGUUAUGGAUUGUGUGAAUAUGAUGUCCUUCAUGUGUUGCCGUUCGAUUCCAAUCGAAAGAGGAUGUCUAUAAUUGUUCGCCAUCCUGAAACUCAGGAAAAAAUUCUGUACUGUAAAGGUGCCGAUUCUGCAAUACUAGAGAAUUUAAGUAGAUCAGUAGAUGAUAAAACAAAGUUUAGAAUAUUUCGUACAGAGCAACAUUUAAAUGGGUACUCCAAAAAGGGCCUGCGUGUUUUGUGCAUGGCCAAACGAAUUUUAACAGAUCCAGAAUAUGAAGACUGGGCAAUGAAGCACAAAGAUGCUGAGAACUCUCUCUCGGGUAGAGAACAUAAACUAGAAGAUUCCUACAAUAGGAUUGAAAAAAAUAUGAAAUUAAUAGGUGCUACUGGCAUAGAGGACAGAUUGCAAGAUGGUGUUCCAGAGACGAUUCAAGCCUUGAGAAAUGCAGGCAUUGUGGUAUGGGUGCUCACAGGGGAUAAGCAAGAAACUGCCAUCAAUAUUGCAUAUUCUUGUGCACUCUUUGUGCCAAAUAUGGAGAUCUUGAAGUUAAAUGCCCGCACAAAAGACCAAGCCGAACGAACUAUACAGUUCUAUCUGCAGCAAAUAGAACAGCAGGAAGAAGUUUGGCAACAUGCUGUGAUGCAGGGAGCUGCUGGUGCUACUCAGGGUGCUGCUGUGUCAAAUGGUGUAACAUCAGUGUCAUCCUCUGUCCACAAUAAUGGCCACAGACAAAGUGGACCACCAAAGCAAAGAGGUCUUGUGGUGGAUGGCAGAACGCUUGUAUAUAUUCUUGACCGACGAGCAAAUCUGAAGAAAGCCUUCCUUACUCUUGCUGGGAAGUGCGGUGCAGUAUUAUGUUGCAGAGCUACGCCCCUGCAGAAAUCUCUCAUUGUUCGCAGUGCCAAAGAUAGCCUGAAAGUUCUUACUCUUGCUGUUGGUGAUGGUGCAAAUGAUGUCUCAAUGAUUCAAACUGCAGAUGUGGGUAUUGGUAUCUCGGGAGUGGAGGGCAGACAAGCAGUAAUGGCAUCGGAUUAUGCUAUUGCACGCUUUCGCCACCUAGAAAAAUUACUGCUAGUCCAUGGUCAUUGGUGCUAUGAUCGUCUAUCCCGUAUUAUUUUAUAUUUUUUCUACAAGAAUGCUUCUUUUGUGCUGAUAUUGAUGUGCUACCAGUUAUACAAUGGCUUCAGUGGCAGCAGCAUGAUAGAUCAGAUGUACCUGAUGGUGUUUAACCUUCUUUUCACUUCCAUACCUCCUGUAUUAGUUGGCAUCUAUGACAAGGAUGCACCAGAAGAAGUACUCCUUGCCCACCCUCGGUUAUAUGCCCAGGGGCGUGAAGGUCGCCUGUAUAAACCUCACUCCUACUGGGUCAACAUCUUGGAUGCUGUUUACCAGGCCAUUAUUCUCUUCUUCUUUGCUGCCGUCCUCCAUGAGGAUUCCAAUGCUGGGAUGUUCCAGUUUGGCCUAACAGUUACACAUGCUUGUCUUAUUGCACAAUCAUUACAUAUUGCUAUUGAAACCAAAUCAUGGACUGUGAUACAUGUAUUUGGAUUGGUAAUGUCGUUCGUACUGUUCUACGUGUUUAGUGCGAUAUACACCAUGAGCUGUGCGGCCUGUCUAAGCGAGCCUAGUCAGUAUGGCGAGCUGGCAUAUGCAUUAGGCUCUCCUAUCCAUUGGCUCACUGUUAUACUUACUGCUACACUAGCAGUCUUGCCAAGGUUUGUCGUUCGUGCAGUUAAGUGUACUCUGAAUCCUGAUGAUGUUACACAAGCCCUAAUAGAUUACCGAGGAUCAAACCCUAAAGAUUUUAUGGUGUCCUGGUCAAGAUCAACAUCAACUUCCUCUGUAUACAGGCGCCGAGAUCCUGACAUCUAAUAUAUUUCUUCAGUCAUUUAGAAGACAAUGCUAAUUCAUACUUGCUUAAUCCUGCAAUGAUUUAGAAUGAAAGUUCACAUUUAUUGGUGAAAAUAUAAAUCAUUUUGCUCAAGGGAUUAAGAAGUUGGAUUUUUUUGUUUUAAGUAGGAUAGAAUAAUCUGUAUAUAAAACUGUCUAGUCUUGGCAUUGUGUGUUCUGCUCAUGCAAGUCAUCCAACACAAAUGAGUACCAGUGGAUUAGCAUUGUCUUCCCUGGCCCCACUGAAUUCUCUCCUGGCACUGAAGGACUUGAAACCAGACCGAACUGCGUCGAGGAAACUGGUGAAGAAGCAUCGGAGCCUUUUAGCUCUCUCGUUACCACCACUACAGUCAUCACCACUACUGAUGAAGCAGAAGUUUAAUCUAGAGAAUUUUACAAAGUGCAGCAGAAUGUUAUGAAAUAGUUUUUUUUUUAAUCAGUAGAUAGUGCAGGAAGUUUACAUGCUUGAAACAAUGGCAGAAAUGUCUGUUCAACAGAAGUGUUAGUUUUACAAACUUUCAUGACUGGAUUAUGACGUGGUUAAUUACUUACUGGUGGUUGACCUAAUAUCAGAUAUGCAUAGACCCACACCCUGUGCUGUGAGUGUUACUGAUGAAAAGCAAUGCAGUAUAUGAAAGUCUGUUGGUAAUAUGUUCAAACUUCUGAAAAAAGUGAUAGACAGAGGCCCUUGUGAGGUCAAUCAUACUAUCGAUAGUUUCAUGUUUUGUCAAAUACCUCAGGAGUAUUGGGUCGUUUUGCAAUAUGUAAAGUAUUCCUGACAAUUAGUGAUAUAGUACAUAUUUGAAUAUGGCAUAUUGCUCAUGACUUAUUUCAUUCGUACACGUUCCUCAUUAAUUUUGUGCUGUGGGUGUAUAGGAAGCAUCCUAUUUGCCAUGGUUCUCAAAUGGUAUUUUAUUCUGGAAGUAGGCACACGAAAUUGCAACUUAAUUAGAUGAAGGGUAUUUUAAUUAAUCUUUGAAUUAUUUGCUAACAAUUUUAGACAAUUUUAAUUUUCAUGUGAUAUUAAUCAGCAGAUAUUAUUUUUUGUUGAAAUGUAUUGCACAUCAGAUAUUGUAAAUAAGGCGCCACACUUUGUAAUAUAAUUUUCCCCUCACACUUACAAUUUUAGCUUUAUAAUUAAACAUUCUUUUUAAUUAAAAUUUUAGCUGUAUUAUGCAGUAUAUAUUUUUAAACGGUAUCAAAGGUAUCGAAUAUUAAAAUUUAUAUACAGUUGUUAGUCAUUUGUUUAGGUAAGAACUUGUACAUUCCAUUAGUUUAAUGUUCAUGGAACCUAACAUCUCCAUGCUAGAGACAAAAAACACAUUACAAAGUAGGAUUUACCUACUGCUCUAGAGAAUUUUGAAUGUGUGCCUUUGUAUUUUUUGUCAGUGCUUCCAUACUUGUGCAUGGGAGGUGGUUUUAGCUGGACUUUAAUUUAGAAAUAUCCAGAGUUUACUUAUUGUGAAAGCUGACAUUUGCAGUCAGAUUAGUGAUACACUUCAUGGCUGUGUUAUAGAGUUAAUGAAUAAUUGAAAGUGAAGCUAUCUAUGACAGGGUUUCUCUUCUUACAUAGCACAAACAAAACCAUUAUGUACCCAGAUACAGUAUUCAGUUAGAUUAUUUACUUGAUGCAAGAUAUCCUUUCACCAAAUAUAUAUUUGGCCCAUCAUAGAGAAGCUUAAUAAUUGCAAUUCUUAAAUAAUUAUUGAAUGAUGUCUGGGAAAAACCAAUCAAAUUUUAUUCGGCUGAAUUUUGACAUGGGAAGGGGUUUAUGUAUGAAGUGAUACCUUGCCUCAUUAAUGCAGUGUUGCCCACCCUGUAUGUAAAUAUGCCCCUUUUAUUUAAUCAUUAGUAUUUUCUGGCUCCUGAUGCCACAAAAGUUCUUCUACACUAUAUAUUAAUCAAUCAAGCUUCCAUAAAUUUUAAAUCGGUUUUGCUAGAAUUGAUAAAUUACUACUAGAACCAUUGUACAGUGUUUAUUCGUAACGGAUGGAGUAAUGUUGAGAGGUAGGGUAGCAGAGGAAGCCCUGGUUUCGUGAUACUGAGCUGCUAUAUCCUGUAUUCACAGGAAGCUGGUGCUUGCCAAAUCUUCCCAAAGCAUUUUGGUUACAUUAUCUCCAUUCCUUGUAUUAAAGACUGCAUUUUAUUAUUUCAUUUAAGAUAUUUAAUUUUUUUUAAAUAAGAAUCAUUUUGGUUACAAUGGUGUAAAAUGACAAAUAUUUAAGAGUAUGGAAGGUGCAGAAAAGACGUGUAGACUUGAAAUACAGUACUGUAUUAAUAUUAAUAAAAACUGAUAAUUUUAUUUAAUAUUUUGAUAUCAGUGGUGUGAUUUAAAUCUCAAGAUUUAUGAGUAAAGGAUGACCAUACUUUCCUAGUUGCUGUCAUGCAUAUGCAAGCCUAAGAAAACUUGACACUAUAUAUAUCCAUGUUUAAGAGGGAAAGAUGCUUGGAUAUUUUAAUGCCAAUACCGAUUUGUUAUCUGAACAGAAACCAUUGAUGAACUAUCAGCUGCAUUAGUGAACAAUGUAAGCAUAAAAUGAAAGGUGCCAAACUUUGAUCUCGGGCAAAUUUUAACAUUUCUUUUAAAACCAAUGAUAAUAUCUGGUAAUUUAGUGAUGGAUGAUUACUUGUAGAUGUUACACCACAAAUAUGCUACACACUCUUUUUAACUUUAAACAGAUUUAUAAAUAUUUUGUAUUGCAUUCUUGAUGCAGCUUUUGCUAUUUGAACACUUCCAAAACAUUGAUGUUUAAUUUCAUAUUUUCCAACACAGUACAUGGAGUCAUUUUAAUCAAGGGGUUUGGACUUUAUUUACCGACUUACCCAUUCACAAAUUUUCUGGUCGUAUUAUUUCAGUAGUGAUGAUUUAAAAUGGGAUAAAAUAUAUGUACAGUUGAUAUUAUUAAUGUUGGUUUGUUUAGAUCAUUGAUGGGAUGUAUUAUUUUAUGCUCUGGAAAUUAAAACUGUAUGCUCAAGUUAAUGGGACCAAAAUGUUUGAGGACCCACCAUAGAUGGCAAGUGCCAAAGGAAGGAAAAAAUACAUAAAUAUUCGUUUGUUCAAAGUGUGCAAGUGCAACAGAAGGUUCCUUUAUCAUGGUCAUUUAUGAUCUGAAGGUAAUGCUCUGUGACCUUUGUCACAGGUCAAAUAAUUGUCUGGUUUUCAAAUUAUCUGCUGAAAUUUAUGGAAAUAGUUAAUCAUUUACCCUCCAGAUUAAUUUUUUCAUGGUGUCAUGAUAGUUGAUGCUGUUAAGAUACUUAAUUGACCUGUAAUAACUACUCAAAAAGACACAAGUGAUGGAAGACGAUCUGCACAAGAUGUCAAGGAAAUGCAUUAUCUGCCCCCUCUCUUCUGUGGCUAUGGGCCUGCACAACACUAGCAAAGGUGGUAUGUACCUACAUACACUUGUACACUAGAAACACUUGCCUAAAUUUUUCAGUAUUGGUUAGCUUUCAUAAUUGUUGAAUAUUGUCCGUAUAAAUUAAUCUCUAGUUUAUAGUGUGGGCAUUAUCUGAAAGUAAUUUUUUUCAAAUUUGUUUUAUUUUGCCCACAUUUUCUUUUGGGCGAGGGGCCAAAAUGUUUAUCAAUUGUCUUGUGUAAUUGCCAUAUAUGGGCAUUAUUGCCUCUACUGUGCUUGUGCCAAAAGUAUAGAUGUUCUUGCUAAUUUAAAUCAGUUUGUUCCAGAAUUAUUGGUGUAUUAACAUUUCUUAAGUCAGAUGAUAUGCUAAGCUUACUAAUUAUAUAUUUGAAAACAGCUUAUUUAAUGUGUAAUGCAAUAAUUUGUCAAUGUCAAAACAUAAUGAUUUUAUUGCACUUAAAAUUGGUUACUUUAAUUGUUGAAAAUAUUAUGGCAUAAGGCAGUUUAUCAUGCUCAUGCCAGCAAUGGUUGUGUAAUAAGUGGUCUGGGUCCAGUGCUCAUGUUCACCAUAUAAAAUUGAACCAGCAUAAGCAUAGAUUUUCUUAUUUGAAUGGUUAUGAAUUAGUCCUGUAUAUACUGCAUUUAUCAGGAAUGCAUAGUGGUCUCCAUACUUGUAUCAGAAACACAAUAAUAUAUAUGAAUGAAACCACCUUAAUGGACACGCCAUUUUACAAAAGUGUCCCAAUUUAUUUAAAUUUUUCCAAUUGUCAACAUAGAUGAUUUUAUGGAUUGGAAAGUACUGUGCAGUUAUCAGUCCAGUCAUUCACUGGGUUUAUAUUAUUCCUGGGGUUUGGCUUUUAAUGGGUGUGGGGGGGGGGUAAUUACAAAAAUUGGACAGCAUAUACUUUUCUUUCUGUACUGUAUUCUAGUCAGUUAAGGUUGAUUUUGUUAGCUUUGAUAUUCUGGAUUUCUUGAGCCAGAUUUUAGUGUAAGCAUUCCAAUAACUUUUAUAUUUUUAUGUGGGUGGCUAGUAAGUGAAUACUUAAGAAUAUUGUUUGAUUUUUGUUUUAUAAAUCUCCGACUGCCUUUAAUAUAUUGUAAAUGAUGGUAUAUUAAAUAUUAUUUGUAAAAAUGUUAGAUUUUUUAUUUGCAAUUGAGGUAGUUUGAUGGUGUAUAGUGAACUUGAAAUAUUCUUUAUAAAACUUGCUGCAUUUUGAUAAACUUAAAAUUAUUGCCAUUAGUAGAAUGUAACACAAAUGCAGGAUUUAUAAGGUGCCUUUAAUCAUACAAAAGAGGGCAAUUGCAAUUUGAGAAAAUGGUUCACUAUAUCUUCAUCCAACAAGAUAUUUUUCCAUGAAAGUUUGUGUGGAAACCACUGCACAAUACGUGUAUUGAAGUUUUGUUGAAAAUAAAGUAUAUUUAUAGGACAUAAUAAAUAUUUUAAUGUA